rnacentral:rRNA from 1 species
GGGUGAGUAACGCGUGGGCAAUCUGCCCUUGAGUGGGGAAUAACCAUUCUAACGAGUGGCUAAUUCCGCAUGUGACCGGACCUUCGCAUGGAGGAUUGGUUAAAGGUGGGGAUCUUCGGACCUGCCGCUCGAGGAGGAGCCCGCGUCCCAUUAGCUUGUUGGUGGGGUAGCGGCCCACCAAGGCGACGAUGGGUAGCCGAUCUGAGAGGAUGACCGGCCACACUGGGACUGAGAUACGGCCCAGACUCCUACGGGAGGCAGCAGUCGAGAGGCUUCGGCAAUGGGGGAAACCCUGACCGAGCGACGCCGCGUGCGGGAUGAAGGCCCUCGGGUCGUAAACCGCUGUCAGGAGGGAAGAAUCCCCUCGGGUUAAUAGCCCGAGGGUUGACCGUACCUCCAGAGGAAGCUCCGGCUAACUCCGUGCCAGCAGCCGCGGUAAUACGGAGGGAGCGAACGUUGUUCGGAUUUACUGGGCGUAAAGGGCGCGUAGGCGGUUUUGCAAGUCAGAGGUGAAAUGCACCGGCUCAACCGGUGACGUGCCUUUGAAACUGCAGAACUUGAGGUCGUGAGAGGAAACUGGAAUUCCUAGUGUAGCGGUGAAAUGCAUAGAUAUUAGGAAGAACACCAGUGGCGAAGGCGAGUUUCUGGCACGAUUCUGACGCUGAGGCGCGAAAGCUAGGGGAGCGAACGGGAUUAGAUACCCCGGUAGUCCUAGCCGUAAACGAUGGGUACUAAGUGUUGGCCGAUCGACCCGGUCAGUGCUGCAGCUAACGCGUUAAGU